rnacentral:tRNA from 1 species
CGGGGAGUAGCGCAGCUUGGUAGCGCACCUGCUUUGGGAGCAGGGGGUCGGAGGUUCAAAUCCUCUCUCCCCGACCA